UGAUGAUGCUACCAUCCAUGACGGCGAAGGUGGUUACAUCAGGCGCCUAGGUGUCAAAAGUGAUAAUACAGUGGUAAAAGAAGAUAUCACGGAUCAGCGGGAAAAUGGGAAGUUGGAUAUCAUAUAUAGCCAAGAUUUAAUUGUUAGAGAUUCUAUCAUGUCAUUACCAGUCUCUUCUUCAUCAAAUGGCGGAGUUGCAAAUUUUAAGCGCUUCCGUAAGGCAAAUGCUCCAUCCCAGAAUAGCUUUGCAAUCUUCAUUCCAUUCUCCAAGCAUCCAUACCAAGAAUCUGAGUGUAAGAAUGAGGAUGUUGCUGAAUCUAUUAGAGAAGAGAAAAAAAGAAAACAGAUGGAAGCAAUUGCCGAGGACCUGUUUAAAAGUGAAAAGGGAAAAAAAAGUGGUGUUGCUGGUUCCUUGCAUGGGUUGUUUGCUCGUAGAUAAUAUGAUACCAAAGAUACAGAGAUGUACUGGA
rnacentral:misc_RNA from 1 species